rnacentral:misc_RNA from 1 species
AGCUGCAGCUCUCUUUACCACCUGUGAUGUUACACUUACAAGUCAACACAAUUAAAUAAUAGAAUGACAGAUGUGCAUGGUUUAUCUGGCAAUAAUAAAAAAUAUAAUCCCCAUAUUUUAGAAAAUAAGCAAUUGUUAUUAAUAAAAUAAAAAGGCACCAAUCAAGGCUAAACAAUUACAUGAACCUCAGUUUAAGUCGACGUCUGUAUCUGCUUAGUUAUAUAUUAUUUAAAACAUAUGUUCAUUUCUCUUUCCUACAUUUUCUUGGCAACAACAACAAUG